rnacentral:rRNA from 1 species
CUACGGAGGGUGCAAGCGUUAAUCGGAAUUACUGGGCGUAAAGCGCGCGUAGGCGGUUUAGUCAGUCAGAUGUGAAAGCCCCGGGCUCAACCUGGGAACUGCAUUUGAUACUGCUGAACUAGAGUAUGGUAGAGGGAAGUGGAAUUCCAGGUGUAGCGGUGAAAUGCGUAGAUAUCCGGAGGAACACCAGUGGCGAAGGCGACUUCCUGGACCAAUACUGACGCUGAGGUGCGAAAGCGUGGGUAGCAAACAGGAUUAGAAACCCGAGUAGUCC